GAAGGUAUAGCUCAAGUGGCAGUGUGCAUGCUUAGCAAGCAUGAGGUACUGGGUUCAAUCCCUGGUACCUCCU
rnacentral:tRNA from 1 species